rnacentral:lncRNA from 1 species
CUUGCAUCUAGGUAAGGUCAUGUGGCCAGUUCUGACCAAUGGAAUUUGAGCAGAAAUAGAGUUUCACUUCUGCAUCUAGGCAACUAAGAACAGGUGAGCCUUCACCCCACUGUCUCCCUCUUUCCAUUCCAUGACAACCUUGGACUAAACCAUGCUAACCAUUGCUAAAGCUCACAAUACGACAAGAUGGGAGAAAUGUCUGGGUCCUUGAUUGGCUUCAUAGAACAAAGCUCUCUCCACUGCCCACUAACUUUGAUUGGAUGGUGAUGUAGAGUUCAUCGUGGAGAGGACCAAGACAGAAGAUCAAGAAGAAUUUUUUUUUUAAUCUCUUCCCUUGUCCACCGAAAGACCAUCAAAACUAGAGAGAGAUUAUCAAAUGCCUGGUGACAAGUCCUCGGCUGCACUGGCUUCACAGGAGCUUAUGUGGAGAAGAAAAAGAAUUUGAGCCACAGCAACGAAACUCUAAAGUUGUUUCCAACUCUCUUACCAAAAGAGGCAUCCAGCCCAACAGCUCUCAACCUGGAGUAAAGCUCCCACGUGCCCUGUGGAGCAUCCUCGCUUUGAUUCCAUCCCUUUACUCCCAUUCAGAGAAUUCUACUUGAAUUUAAAUAAAUGACUCUUCUGCUAUUAUUGUGGUAAGCUUGAUUCUGCUGUGAUUUGAAAAGAACAAAAAAUAAAUUAUUGCAAAACCUUUGUAUUAAAUUACUGGUAACAAAUUACUGGUAACUUUGCUACAAUUGGCAUUGUGACUGAGGGCUGUUCGUUAAGGACAUUCUGCUGCCCAUGGCUGAGGUGACACUAACUGUAUCAACAAGGAUGUUUUCAGCCCCAGAUAAACAGAAAACCCAUGAAAA